rnacentral:rRNA from 1 species
UACGGAGGGGACUAGCGUUGUUCGGAAUUACUGGGCGUAAAGCGCACGUAGGCGGAUUUGUAAGUCAGGGGUGAAAUCCCGGGGCUCAACCUCGGAACUGCCUUUGAUACUGCAAAUCUCGAGUCCGGAAGAGGUGAGUGGAAUUCCUAGUGUAGAGGUGAAAUUCGUAGAUAUUAGGAAGAACACCAGUGGCGAAGGCGGCUCACUGGUCCGGUACUGACGCUGAGGUGCGAAAGCGUGGGGAGCGAACAGG